GGAUUCCAUUUGAAUACCUCCUGGGAACCUGUAUGUGGGAUAUAAACUGUCCUUCCUUUGGCCCUAGUCCAAUGUGGAAGUGGGUUAAGGAUGAUGAUGUUUGUACCAUGCUGGAAUUUGGCAGAUGGAUCCGUGCCAGCAGCCGCGGUAAUACGGAGGGUGCAAGCGUUAAUCGGAAUUACUGGGCUUAAAGGGUGCGUAGGUGGUCUAUUAAGUUAGGUGUGAAAUUCCUGGGCUUAACCUGGCCAUGAGACUUAAAACUGAUAGACUGGAGUUUGGCAGAGGG
rnacentral:rRNA from 1 species